UACGUAGGGUGCAAGCGUUGUCCGGAAUUAUUGGGCGUAAAGAGCUCGUAGGCGGUGUGUCACGUCGGCCGUGAAAACCUGCAGCUUAACUGUGGGCGUGCGGUCGAUACGGGCAUCACUGGAGUUCGGCAGGGGAGACUGGAAUUCCUGGUGUAGCGGUGAAAUGCGCAGAUAUCAGGAGGAACACCGAUGGCGAAGGCAGGUCUCUGGGCUGACACUGACGCUCAUGCACGAAAGCGUGGGGAGCAAACAGG
rnacentral:rRNA from 1 species